rnacentral:rRNA from 1 species
UACAUAGGCAGCAAGCGUUGUUCGGAGUUACUGGGCGUAAAGGGUGCGUAGGCGGGUCUUUAAGUCAGGGGUGAAAUCCUGGAGCUCAACUCCAGAACUGCCUUUGAUACUGAAGAUCUUGAGUUCGGGAGAGGUGAGUGGAACUGCGAGUGUAGAGGUGAAAUUCGUAGAUAUUCGCAAGAACACCAGUGGCGAAGGCGGCUCACUGGCCCGAUACUGACGCUGAGGCACGAAAGCGUGGGGAGCAAACAGG